rnacentral:pre_miRNA from 1 species
CUCAAUAAAUGCUUGUCGAAUCGAGAUGCGCUAGAUUCAACGGGUAUUUACUGAGCG